CGGCGGACGGGUGAGUAACACGUGGAUAACCUACCUAUAAGACUGGGAUAACUUCGGGAAACCGGAGCUAAUACCGGAUAAUAUAUUGAACCGCAUGGUUCAAUAGUGAAAGACGGUUUUGCUGUCACUUAUAGACGGAUCCGCGCCGCAUUAGCUAGUUGGUAAGGUAACGGCUUACCAAGGCAACGAUGCGUAGCCGACCUGAGAGGGUGAUCGGCCACACUGGAACUGAGACACGGUCCAGACUCCUACGGGAGGCAGCAGCG
rnacentral:rRNA from 1 species